rnacentral:rRNA from 1 species
UACGUAGGUUGCGAGCGUUGUCCGGAUUUAUUGGGCGUAAAGCGCGCGCAGGCGGUCCUGCAAGUCCACGGUGAAAGCUCCCGGCCCAACUGGGAGAUGCCCGUGGAAACUGCAGGACUUGAAGGCGGGAGAGGCAGAUGGAAUUUCCGGUGCAGCGGUAAAAUGCGUAGAUACCGGAAGGAACACCAGUGGCGAAAGCGAUCUGCUGGCCCGCCCUUGACGCUCAGGCGCGAAAGCUAGGGGAGCGACCGGG